AUCCAGCUGACGAGCCCCAAAUAGGACGAGAGGUGCGUUCUAGAU
rfam:Schistosoma curassoni strain Dakar, Senegal genome assembly, scaffold: SCTD_scaffold0011623